rnacentral:lncRNA from 1 species
CUCUUAAAGAAGCAUCAGGUCACAAACUGACAGUCGAGGGCGUUUGGACAAGAGACAGAGACGGAGACGCACGAUGGUUGAAUUCAGACGGAUUAAAAUGACUUUAUUUGUGAUGCUGCUGCUUCAGGUAACAGCAGUAUCUGGACUAAAUCCCUCCAUCCUCACUGUCAGAGCUGGACAUGACGUCACUUUGACGUGUGGAAAUGUGACAAAACAUCAGGACAAAUGUGACGAUACUACCUGGCUCUACAGUGGUAUUGAGGCCACAGCAACACAAUCUCUGAUUGAAUUAGGACAGAUAAAAAAAGGGAUUUCCAAACCUCUAUCUGACAGACUGAGUUUGACAGAAAAUUGUUCUCUGGUUAUAAAAAGUGUCACACAUGAUGAUGUUGGUCUUUACAGCUGCAGACAGUUCAACAAAUCAGAACAAGUUUCAGACGCUCAGGUUGUUCUGUCUGUUGUUAACAUCACUGAACAUAAGAACGAUGACAUAACCAUCUUGUUCUGCGCUGCGUUGUCAUAUGGAGCGUGUAGAUACACAGUGGAGUGGGUGAAUGAGGGUAAUAAGAAUCACCUGGAGACAUCACAGAGUUCCUGUUCAGCCACUGUGAUAUUUCAAACUCAUGUUGAUCAAAAGUUUCUGAAGUGUAACGUGACAGAUCAUGAGCGUGGGACGAUGCUGCUGUGUGGUGUUGACCUCCAGUCCUCGUGUGAGAAAACAGGAAGCAAAUCAGUGGAAGAAAACAUCCCAUCAACAACAGAACAAGGGUUAAGGUGGUUGUACAUCAUUGGGGCUGUGGGUUUAGCAGCACUAUUAAUAAUCGUUGUUGCCGUCAUCAGACAGAAGAAAACUAAAGGGAACCAAACACAGGGGGGUGAAAGAAUGGGACAGGGACUUAACCCUGCAGUGACGCCGCCCGGUCCAGAACCCAGUCAGGACACGGCGGAUCCUGAAGAAGGUGUUUCCUACGCCUCCAUCAGCUACACCAAUAAGACCGACAGUAAAGCCCAGGGUCAGAGUAAAGAGGAUGAUGAAGAUGAUGCCGUGACCUACAGCACUGUGAAAGCUUCUUCUUCUUCUUCUUCUGCUGGAGCGGCGGCGGAUCUCAGCAACCUCUACGCUACCGUCGACAAACCCAACAAAUAAGAGGCCACAGUAUAGUUACAGCUCAUGUCGUUACUCUGAUUUUACUUUGAUAUCUAAUAAGAAAACCAAGUCUGCAGUGCCUUUAAUCCACUCACUGUGUCACUGAUAUGUAAUGAGCACACAAGCAAAAUUGUCUCUGCAGUCAAAAUCCUGGAGAACAUUUAAUAUUUAAUAAUAUUUUGUACAUAAUGCUCUUACCAGAUACAAUACAUUGUUAUUGAUACAUGAAGGAAGCUCAGCUGCAUCUGCUCUUUGUAGUGUUUUAAUAUCUUUUUGCAUUUCAGUUCUUACAUGAACACGUUUUGUUUUGUUUUACAAUUAUUUGUAUGAUCAUUUUCAGGAUUUAUUGCUAUAAUAAGAUGUUCUCUGAAGGGGGUGUAGUAACUUAACUAGCACCACAGCGUAAAAAGUAGAUGUGAGAUAAUAUAAAUGAGAAAAUGUGAAUAACAUAUGAUAACAUAUUUUCCUUUGUAAACGGGCUUAAUAUUGUUUUUUAUUGUAUUAUUAUUUGUGUUUUGUGCGUUUGUAUUUUCUUGCCAAGUUUUGCCCCAAUAGAAUAAACAUAACAUGAAUAAUUUAAUUAGUAUUUCACUUUUCUAGCUGGGAGCACAACACGAACAACAAAAAGCAACCAGAUAAAAGUGAAACUUUGAACAUUAAGUUUGCUAAUAAAAAACAAAAAAUGUGACAUCCCUUAUCGACACUGAAUCCUCUGUGAGGAGUUCAUGUUGAAUUGUUGAGUAUUGACUGAUUUGUAGAGAAAAGAAGGAAAGGAAAAGUAUAAAGUUUCAGCUUUGUAAGAAAACCAAACAAAAAAACAACAACUUGAUAUCAGAGUGAGGAAGAAAGUCACCAUGAGGAAGUUGACGCCUUAAUAAUAACAGGAAGUGGAAACUCUAUUUCUCUUUAAGAAGACGUUGACAGUUGAGAGAGGCCGAACAAAAUGGCUGGAUUACUGCUUCAGAUAACAGGAUACAUAUUUAUACUGUAUAUAAGUAACAGAAACAUUGCAACGUUUGAUUUUAACAGUGAUUUUGGCGGACUCUUGUACGGAUGAUCAUCUGUUGGCUCUAAAAUCAUCCUCACAAUAAAUAUGAACAUAAUUACCUGAUAUUGGGCUGUGGCUCAGGCGGUAGAGCCAUCUUCCAGAAAUCGGGGGUUGGACCCCUUGCCUCUGCAUCCUACAUGUUGGGCAAUUUACUGAACCCCAAUUGUCUCCCAAUGGCUGUGAGGUGGUCCGAUGAGCAAGUGGCACCCUGCAUGGUGGCCUCUGCUGCCACCAUGUGUAUGAAUGUGUGUGUGAAUGGGUGAAUGCUGGCUUCUGUAAAGCGCCUUUUAUUGAUUCAAGACAGAGUCAAGACAGAGUGUUGGAGCCAAACGUUAAAUCAGACCGUAUGAAUCUCUGGAUAUUAAGAAGGUCCCAGUGGAGGAUGCUGGUCAAUAUGGCUGCAGACAGUUCUGAUCAGAACAUCAACAAGGAC